UACAGAGGUCCCGAGCGUUGUUCGGAUUCACUGGGCGUAAAGGGUGCGUAGGUGGUGAGGAAAGUCGGAUGUGAAAUCUCCAAGCUCAACUUGGAAAUGGCAUUGGAAACUACCUUGCUGGAGGUUUGGAGGGGGGACUGGAAUACUUGGUGUAGCAGUGAAAUGCGUAGAUAUCAAGUGGAACACCGGUGGCGAAGGCGGCAUCCUGGACCAAUUCUGACGCUGAGGAGCGAAAGCCAGGGGAGCAAACGGG
rnacentral:rRNA from 1 species